AGGCUCUGCAGUAGGAAAUGAGACCCAGAAAGGCAUGUAGAGGUUUGUGGGCUUUGGGAGGACAGAUGGCUGUAAUUCCCCUCACACGAUCCCGAGUGAGGUGACGGGUGCCAUGGGAAAGACAAUGUCCCAAGAAGACCACAGAGGGCCGGCACCAUUGCAGCUUCUUCUUAGAGGCCUUGCAGCUCUGUUCAGCAAGGUAACAGAGUAAAUCUUAUGAUACCCG